CCGAGUACAACUCGCCAACCCACUGUGAACAUACCACUGUUGCUUCGGCGGACCCGCCCCGGCGCCCUCGGGCCCGGACCAGGCGCCCGCCGGAGGACCCCAAACCACUGAAUUACCAUGUGUAUCUUCUGAGCAAAGGCGAAAGCCGAAAAUGAAUUA
rnacentral:misc_RNA from 1 species